UACAAACUAGUGUUCGCAAUCGCGAUCGAUCGGCUGCGAAGAGAUGGGAGAGUGCACGAAGCGCGUCCAUGUGCUGUUGGUUCUUAUUCUCGUAGGAUUCGCUGUUCAGGGGCAAUGUGGAGGCGCAACCGUCGAUAAAGAACCUCUUAAUGGGUGUUUCAAGGGCCAUAGCAUUCCGACAUGCAACCCAGAUAUAGCUAACUGCUACUGUUGUAUAACCAAUGACAAUUGCUACAAGACUAUGGAUGAGUGCAAAGCCAUCUGUCCACCAGUGGAGUCGGCGGUCCUCUCCCCUUCCUUCUCAUCCACACUUCCAUGAAACAUGAUUAUUGUAAUAAACCAGAAAAAGAAUGAUGAAUAAACGGGCAUUUGCUAUUGAUUUUA